GUCCCUGUAUCGCAAUGGGUAGCGUUUUGGACUUCAAAUCCAAUUAUCGUGGGUUCGAAUCCUACUUGGGAUG